rnacentral:rRNA from 1 species
GAUGAACGCUGGCGGCGUGCCUAAUACAUGCAAGUCGAGCGAACGGACGAGAAGCUUGCUUUUCUGAUGUUAGCGGCGGACGGGUGAGUAACACGUGGAUAACCUACCUAUAAGACUGGGAUAACUUCGGGAAACCGGAGCUAAUACCGGAUAAUAUUUUGAACCGCAUGGUUCAAAAGUGAAAGACGGUCUUGCUGUCACUUAUAGAUGGAUCCGCGCUGCAUUAGCUAGUUGGUAAGGUAACGGCUUACCAAGGCAACGAUGCAUAGCCGACCUGAGAGGGUGGUCGGCCACACUGGAACGGAGACACGGUCCAGACUCCUACGGGAGGCAGCAGUAGGGAAUCUGCCGCAAUGGGCGAAAGCCUGACGGAGCAACGCCGCGUGAGUGAUGAAGGUCUUCGGAUCGUAAAACUCUGUUAUUAGGGAAGAACAUAUGUGUAAGUAACUGUGCACAUCUUGACGGUACCUAAUCAGAAAGCCACGGCUAACUACGUG